CCUCUGGUCGUCCGAGUUGUAGUCUGGAGAAGCGUUUUCCGCGUCGGACCGUGUACAAGUCCCUUGGAACAGGGCGUCGUAGAGGGUGAGAAUCCCGUCUUUGACACGGACUGCCGAUGCUAUGUGAUGCGCUCUCGAAGAGUCGAGUUGUUUGGGAAUGCAGCUCAAAACGGGUGGUAAAUUCCAUCUAAAGCUAAAUAUUGGCGAAAGACCGAUAGCGAACAAGUACCGUGAGGGAAAGAUGAAAAGCACUUUGGAAAGAGAGUUAAACAGUACGUGAAAUUGUUGAAAGGGAAACGCUUGAAGUCAGUCGCGUCUCUUGGGACUCAGCCUUGCUUUUGCUUGGUGUACUUCCUGAGGUGACGGGCCAGCAUCGAUUUUGAUCGUCGGAGAAAGGCUUUGGGAAUGUGGCACCCUCGGGUGUGUUAUAGCCCUAGGUCGUAUGCGGCGGUUGGGAUCGAGGACCGCAGCACGCCUUCAUUGGCCGGGGUUCGCCCACGUAACGUGCUUAGGAUGCUGGCGUAAUGGCUUUAAGCGACCCGUCUUGAAACACGGACCAAGGAGUCUAACAUGCCCGCGAGUGUUUGGGUGGAAAACCCGGACGCGUAAUGAAAGUGAAAGGUUGGGACCUCUGUCGCGGAGGGCACCGACGCCCGGACCAGAGCUUCUGUGACGG
rnacentral:rRNA from 1 species